AGCCUUGUAUUCAAUUAUGAUUUUAAAUUGCAAAUUUAAAAGUGGCUUAAACCCAAGGCUU
rnacentral:tRNA from 1 species